rnacentral:rRNA from 1 species
GUUGAACGCUGGCGGCAUGCCUAACACAUGCAAGUCGAACGGGGUGUAGCAAUACAUCUAGUGGCGGACGGGUGAGGAAUACAUAGGAAUUUGCCCUUAAGUGGGGAAUAGUCCGGGGAAACUCGGUUUAAUACCGCAUGAUCUCGUGAGAGCAAAGCAGGGGACCGCAAGGCCUUGCGCUUUUGGAGAAGCCUAUGUCGGAUUAGCUAGUUGGUAGGGUAAUGGCCUACCAAGGCGACGAUCCGUAACUGGUCUGAGAGGAUGAUCAGUCACACCGGAACUGAGACACGGUCCGGACUCCUACGGGAGGCAGCAGUGGGGAAUAUUGGACAAUGGGCGCAAGCCUGAUCCAGCAAUGCCGCGUGUGUGAAGAAGGCCU